rnacentral:rRNA from 1 species
UACGGAGGGUGCUGAGCGUUGUUCGGAAUCACUGGGCGUAAAGGGCUCGUAGGCGGUUCGUCACGUCGGGAGUGAAAACUCGGAGCUUAACUCCGAGCCUGCUUCCGAUACGGGCAGACUAGAGGUAGGCAGGGGAGAGCGGAACUCCUGGUGUAGCGGUGGAAUGCGCAGAUAUCAGGAAGAACACCGGUGGCGAAGGCGGCUCUCUGGGCCUUACCUGACGCUGAGGAGCGAAAGCGUGGGUAGCGAACAGG